GAUCGAAGCGACAACACACGAGAAUUAUCGCAGAAUGCAAAGAAGUAUCGUCACCUCGAAGUUAAAAUUCUACACGACUCCCGCCUCCCUAAAGGUGACCGUCAUGAAUCUUUUAGUGCGUGUUUUCCACACCACUGGCGUCUUUUCCCUGGACAAACAAGACGGACGACGGCUACGUGAUUACAUGACACGUCCAUACACCUUUUGUAUGAAAAAGGAAGAAAUAGAACGUGAUAAAGUAGAUUUUUAUUGACUAAACCAGAAACCAUGAUGUGUCCUUCACAAUAAAGCUUACAAUGUAUUUGUAGUUUACUUGUUUUG